GAUGAAGAACGUAGUGAAAUGCGAUAAGUAAUGUGAAUUGCAGAAUUCAGUGAAUCAUCGAAUCUUUGAACGCACAUUGCGCCCAUUAGUAUUCUAGUGGGCAUGCCUGUUCGAGCGUCAUUUCAACCCUUAAGCCUAGCUUAGUGUUGGGAAUCUGCUGUAUUGCAGUUCCUCAAAUACAACGGCGGAUCUGUAACAUCCUCUGAGCGUAGUAAAUUUUUAUCUCGCUUUUGUUAGGUGUUGCAGCUCUCAGCCGCUAAACCCCCCAAUUUUUGUGGUUGACCUCGGAUCAGGUAGGAAUACCCGCUGAACUUAAGCAUACAAUAAGCGGAGGA
rnacentral:misc_RNA from 1 species